rnacentral:rRNA from 1 species
CUUCCGUAGGUGAACCUGCGGANGGAUCAUUA